GAAAAGAUGGCUGAAGAUUAGGCGAUAGAUUGUAAAUCUAUAUAUGAAGAUACCCUUCUCUUUUCA
rnacentral:tRNA from 1 species